rnacentral:rRNA from 1 species
UACGAAGGGGGCUAGCGUUGCUCGGAAUCACUGGGCGUAAAGGGUGCGUAGGCGGGUUUUUAAGUCAGGGGUGAAAUCCUGGAGCUCAACUCCAGAACUGCCUUUGAUACUGAAGAUCUUGAGUCCGGGAGAGGUGAGUGGAACUGCGAGUGUAGAGGUGAAAUUCGUAGAUAUUCGCAAGAACACCGGUGGCGAAGGCGGCCCACUGGUCCGGUACUGACGCUGAGGUGCGAAAGCGUGGGGAGCAAACAGG